AUUAUGAAAGAAGUUUUCUGGAUGAUUUCACAUAUAUUGAUAGUUCUUCUGAUACCGAGGAAAUCCUGAAUUCUGAUUCUGAUGAGGAGAAUAAACUAUUAUACUUAACGAAAAUGGGGUAUUGGGAGUUUGAGGCUUCAAUAGCCAUGGAGA